rnacentral:rRNA from 1 species
CCUACGGGAGGCAGCAGUGGGGAAUAUUGGGCAAUGGAGUAAACUCUGACCCAGCAACGCCGCGUGAAUGAUGAAGGUCUUCGGAUUGUACAGUUCUUUUCUAAGGGAAGCAGCAAGUGACGGUACCUUAGGAAUAAGCCUCGGCUAACUACGUGACAGCAGCCGCCUUAAUACGUAGGGGCAGAGCGUUAUCCGGAAUGACUGGGCGUAAGGGGUGCGUAGGUGGUUUGGCAAGUUAGUAGCGUAACUCCAAGGCUCAACCUUGGAACUACUAUUAAAACUGCUGGACUUGAGUGCCGGAGAGGCAACCGGAAUGCCUAGUGUAGCGGUGGAAUGCGUAGAUAUUAGGAGGAACACCAGUGGCGAAGGCGGGUUGCUAGACUGUAACUGACACUGAGGCACGAAAGCGUGGGGAGCAAACAGGAUUAGAUACCCUAGUAGUC